rnacentral:lncRNA from 1 species
UUUUCUUCAUGAUUCCAAUUGCAAUUGUCCAAUCAAUGGCAAACUUGGAUGACAUUGAACGGAUGCUUCCUUUCCUGAAACCUAUAAUAGAAAGGUGACUGUUAUUACCCAUUGUUUUUGCAGUUUAAUUUCCAUAAAAAAUGCAUUUGCAGCAUGUUGUUGAUCAGUGCAUCUACAUAUUUUUUGCCUUCCUAUCAUGAAAACAGUUAGAUAGGUCCAAAUUUUGACUAGUAAUGAUACUGGUAUGAUGGUACCAUACUGAAAUAACAUCCAAUUUCAUAUAAAUAAAUGCAUAUGCAUUUCAAACUGGAUGUAUGAUUGGAAGAUUUUGCAAUUCAUUAUGUUACAUUGUUGACAUAAUUUCUGGGUAAACAUUUGUUUAGCACGCUGUUGAGUACUUAUUUCUUUAAGUCACUCUUUCUUGCUAACUAGGAUAUAAUAUAAAGCAACAGGAAUCGAACCACUCAUAUAAUAAACUGUAAUAAAGUAGACUUUUGGAUUUGUUGAACAUGCUGUAGCCUGUAGGAGUGAACAGUUACCUUCUACAUUUCUUUAUCAUUGAACAAGGAGUAAUGUCUGAAUGUUGGAAUUGAGUACAACCAUUAAAAUGUUUCAUUUUGCUGUCUUCAACCUUUUGAUAAACCCAUAAAAGUGUGUUGCUGCUGGGUGUGUGACUCCUGGAGUUAGCACCCUGCUAUGCUUGGACGUGUUCAGUUCUGGAUGUUCAUUUGCAUUCCUUUGAAUCUGAAAAUUUAUAGGGCUACCAAAUUUAGAUAAUGACAGGUCAAACGUGUAUAUCAUAACAGAAAUAAUGCUCCACAAGUGCAUAGAUGCAUGACUUGGGUUCAUGUUUAAACACUUCAAAAUUUCCCUGGCUAGAUAACAAAGUGAGUAAAGAAAAGAAAAAUAAAUUUAACAAACCCCACAUUUGUCACAUUACUGUUGUUUACUGUUUGUCACAUAGUGUUUUUCUGGAUCUAAAAUCAUUUCUGAUGCAAUGUACUGCAGAAAUUCACUGAAGUCAAUUGUGCAAGGUUUCUUGCCAGGAAUCGCAUUGAAAAUCUUCCUUAUACUUCUCCCAACAUUUCUUGUGAUGAUGAGCAAAAUUGAAGGUCAUACAUCACUAUCUGGAUUGGACAGGAGGACUGCGUCGAAGUAUUAUUUGUUCCUAUUUGUCAAUGUGUUCUUGGGGAGUGUAAUAACUGGAACAGCGUUCCAACAACUCAACAAUUUUAUCCAUCAGUCAGCUAAUAAGUAUGCUCAAUCUGUCAUUGCUUCUUUGUUAUGGAUGUGGGUUAGGGGGUGUGUUUCCCUAACCCCCUGACCCACAUUGGUUAAGUUGGUUAAUGUUUACCAGCUAGCCAAUAAUACUAAUACCUUACCUUGACACCUUUUGCCUUUUGUUUUCACAAGAAUUCCAGAGAUUGUCGGAGAAUCC